rnacentral:rRNA from 1 species
UACAGAGGUCCCAAGCGUUGUUCGGAUUCACUGGGCGUAAAGGGUGCGUAGGUGGUUAGGUAAGUCCGAUGUGAAAUCUCCAGGCUCAACCUGGAAAUGGCAUUGGAUACUAUUUAGCUUGAGGAGUGGAGGGGGGACUGGAAUUCUCGGUGUAGCAGUGAAAUGCGUAGAGAUCGGGAGGAACAUCAGUUGCGAAGGCGGCUCUCUGGACCAGCACUGACACUGAGGCACGAAAGCGUGGGGAGCAAACAGG